rnacentral:rRNA from 1 species
UACGUAGGGUGCAGGCGUUAAUCGGAAUUACUGGGCGUAAAGCGUGCGCAGGCGGUUGUGUAAGUCAGAUGUGAAAUCCCCGGGCUCAACCUGGGAAUUGCAUUUGAGACUGCACGGCUAGAGUGUGUCAGAGGGGGGUAGAAUUCCACGUGUAGCAGUGAAAUGCGUAGAGAUGUGGAGGAAUACCGAUGGCGAAGGCAGCCCCCUGGGAUAACACUGACGCUCAUGCACGAAAGCGUGGGGAGCAAACAGG